rnacentral:rRNA from 1 species
UACGUAGGGGGCAAGCGUUGUCCGGAUUUAUUGGGCGUAAAGAGCGUGUAGGCGGCUAGGUAGGUCCGCUGUGAAAACUCGAGGCUCAACCUCGAGAGGUCGGUGGAAACCAUCUAGCUAGAGUCCGGAAGAGGAGAAUGGAAUUCCUGGUGUAGCGGUGAAAUGCGCAGAUAUCAGGAAGAACACCGGUGGCGAAGGCGGGUCUCUGGGCCGUAACUGACGCUGAGGAGCGAAAGCAUGGGGAGCGAACAGG